rnacentral:tRNA from 1 species
GCCCUCGUAGUUCAACAGGAUAGAACGGAGGAUUCCUAAUCCUCUGAUCUGGGUUCGAGUCCCGGCGAGGGUA